rnacentral:rRNA from 1 species
UUGUCUCAAAGAUUAAGCCAUGCAUGUCUCAGUACAAGCUAAAUUAAAGUGAAACCGCAAAAGGCUCAUUAAAUCAGUUAUGGUUCCUUAGAGCGUACCCACAUUUACUUGGAUAACUGUGGUAAUUCUAGAGCUAAUACAUGCAAACAGAGCUCCAACCGGAAACGGAAGGAGCGCUUUUAUUAGAUCAAAACCAAUCGGUGUCUGGCUUAAUUGCUAGUCAUCGUACAAUUUGGUGACUCUGAAUAACUUUAUGCUGAUCGCACGGUCUUGCACCGGCGACGUAUCUUUCAAAUGUCUGCCUUAUCAACUGUCGAUGGUAGGUUCUGCGCCUACCAUGGUUGUAACGGGUAACGGGGAAUCAGGGUUCGAUUCCGGAGAGGGAGCCUGAGAAACGGCUACCACAUCCAAGGAAGGCAGCAGGCGCGCAAAUUACCCACUCCCGGCACGGGGAGGUAGUGACGAAAAAUAACGAUACGGGACUCAUCCGAGGCCCCGUAAUCGGAAUGAGUACACUCUAAAUCCUUUAACGAGGAUCAAUUGGAGGGCAAGUCUGGUGCCAGCAGCCGCGGUAAUUCCAGCUCCAAUAGCGUAUAUUAAAGUUGUUGCGGUUAAAAAGCUCGUAGUCGAAUUUGUGUUCCGCACCGCCGGUUCAUCGUUUUGCGGUGUCAACUGGCGUGUUGCGGAACGUCCUGCCGGUGGGCUUAGCUUGCAAAAGCGGCCCAAUUCAAUCCCGCCGCGGUGCUCUUCACUGAGUGUCGAGGUGGGCCGGCACGUUUACUUUGAACAAAUUAGAGUGCUUAAAGCAGGCUAAAAUUUUGCCUGAAUACUGUGUGCAUGGAAUAAUGGAAUAGGACCUCGGUUCUAUUUUGUUGGUUUUCGGAACCCCGAGGUAAUGAUUAAUAGGAACGGAUGGGGGCAUUCGUAUUGCGACGUUAGAGGUGAAAUUCUUGGAUCGUCGCAAGACGGACAGAAGCGAAAGCAUUUGCCAAAAACGUUUUCAUUGAUCAAGAACGAAAGUUAGAGGUUCGAAGGCGAUCAGAUACCGCCCUAGUUCUAACCAUAAACGAUGCCAGCUAGCGAUCCGCCGACGUUCCUCCGAUGACUCGGCGGGCAGCUUCCGGGAAACCAAAGCUUUUGGGUUCCGGGGGAAGUAUGGUUGCAAAGCUGAAACUUAAAGGAAUUGACGGAAGGGCACCACCAGGAGUGGAGCCUGCGGCUUAAUUUGACUCAACACGGGAAACCUCACCAGGCCCAGACACCGGAAGGAUUGACAGAUUGAGAGCUCUUUCUUGAUUCGGUGGGUGGUGGUGCAUGGCCGUUCUUAGUUGGUGGAGCGAUUUGUCUGGUUAAUUCCGAUAACGAACGAGACUCUAGCCUGCUAAAUAGGCGUAUUUCGACAUCCUAAAGGCCCGCCAGCUCACUUGGCUUUAUGCCUCGUGCUGUUGUGCGCGGUUUUUACUGUCGGCGUACAAACAAUUCUUCUUAGAGGGACAGGCGGCGUCUAGCCGCACGAGAUUGAGCAAUAACAGGUCUGUGAUGCCCUUAGAUGUUCUGGGCCGCACGCGCGCUACACUGAAGGAAUCAGCGUGUCCUCCCUGGCCGAACGGUCCGGGUAACCCGCUGAACCUCCUUCGUGCUAGGGAUUGGGGCUUGCAAUUGUUCCCCAUGAACGAGGAAUUCCCAGUAAGCGCGAGUCAUAAGCUCGCGUUGAUUACGUCCCUGCCCUUUGUACACACCGCCCGUCGCUACUACCGAUUGAAUGAUUUAGUGAGGUCUUCGGACUGGUACGCGGUGGCGUUUUUACGUUGCCGAUGUUGCUGGAAAGAUGACCAAACUUGAUCAUUU